GCUUGGAUGCUCUGCCAGCCGCAGCCAUCGCCCCGGCCCCGUGCGCAUCUCUCGGCAGCGCGGGGGUGCGCGGCCCUGGCAGGUGUGCUGGACAGUUCUGGGCACACAGGUGGGGAAAGCGAGACACAGAACAGAUAGUUAUUUAAGCCCGGGGCUUGCUCGGUGGGCAUGCCGCUGGGGACAGGAGCACGGGCCUCCAGAAGGCUGGGAGGUGGCUGCAAUUGCCCAAGGACAUAAGAAGACCGCUGCCGACCCUGGGACCAGACCCCAUCAGCUCACCAUCCUCUACGCCCCAUUUACAGAGCUACGCAGCACCGCUCCGCUCCAGGCAGCGUGUCCAAAAGCAUGCCUCGGGUUGGCUCACACUUCCCCGAAUACAGGCAGCGUGACUUCUGCUCUACCCACUGAGGGUCUGCUAAUGGUGAAGAUCUUUCUGCUCCACCUCUUUCUCCAUGAACGGAUCUGCAGGACAGCUUGUUCAGUGUUGGAUUUCCUUCUUUACUGAAAGAGCCUGAGGCCCAAGGUCAGACAAAGGCCCUCUGCAGCUGACCAAUAUGCACUGGGGAUGUUUCUCUUAGCACAUGUUUCUUUUAUACAGCCAGUUCACAGUGAAUCGGAUCACUUUGGAUAUGUGUAAACUGUCUUUAAUGGUGCACUCCAGAAACAAAACCCCAUGCAGCGUGGUCCCAGGUGCUGGGCAGAGAGCGCAUUAGGCAGUGUGUGGGCUCCUGCAGAUAGGGCUUAGAAUGCUGCGAGUCUGACGGUCGGUGCUUGAGCUUGUCUCCAGACAUGCCUUGGCAGGCUGGCCCCGGGCUGGCUGCAAGGCAGCCAUCUGCAAGAAGAGGGAAAAAUUCCAAAACACGUGUAGGUAGCUACCCCUGUGGCCUCCUACCAAAGGCUGUGUAAGCUAGCCUGCUCAUGGGAGUGUGCUCGUCUUAACCCUUCAUGUCAGAACAUAAAAUUCUCGAAGCAUUAGGGUUGUGUCUCAAGAGAACCAGGACUGAACCAUGUCCUUCUUUGCUGCCACUGGAAGGAAGACGCUUUCCUCAUUCAUAAUUUGUUUCAAUCUGAGUUUGGCCACUCUCAUAAAAAAAAAUUAUACAGGAUAGAGGGUCCAGGCAUCACUUUUUAUUAUCAUCUAGUUUAUUGACAAUAUCCUUCCCGUCUAUAUCCUGUGUGAAUUCCCCCACCAGGAAGAUAUUUCUGUCUCAGGCUGUAUACAUUGAACCCAUGUUCUUCAUUGUACCACAUCAGCAUUGUGGAAAGUAAAUAUAUUAUGAUUUAAUCAGUUUAGGAUUAUGUCUGAGGCUUUGGAUGUUCCUUUCCUGCUGUGCGCAGCUCAGCUCAGUGAACGGCAGUGAGGAUGCUUCAUGCUGUAUCUGCUCUUGCUUUGCACGUGCAUCGUUUCAGCGCUAGUGGAAGUCGCACUGCUGUCCAGGUCUCUUCUACAUCCUUUGAGGUUUUGUAUUUGCAACACUUCCCUCACCCAUGUAUGGCUGUCUUAAAUUAUAUCGCAGCCUCUGAAAAAGAAAUCCCUCUACUAAUCCUUUUGAGAACAUUAUGUUUGCCCUCUGAUACACGCAUUGGUCUGUCAGCUUGGAAAACGCCAGCCUUCUAAUGACUGAAGGAUUAUGAAUCUAUUGCUGAGCGUUUGCAGAAGUGCUCUUGUGGUUAUACAAGUGUCUCUUCAUUCACCCGCGGGCUUGGUGCCAGAAGGGCUCAGCCUGGCAGUGUGGGUCUCUUGCCUCCAGCACUGAACAAGUGAGCAUCUCACAGCGGUCAGAAGCCCAUCUCCAUCACCCACUAGCCACUCCCAGCCUCCUCCUUCACAUGCACUGGGAGCUUCCUUCUUUGAAGCGAAGCGCUUGUAGACGGUUCAGCCCAACGCAUUGGACUGUUCCAUUUUAAGUUUGUACAAUUUCGAUUUUAAUAUAAUUUAUCAGAUGAAUUUCUGUCUAUUGAAGUUAAUAAAAGCCUCACUGUGAGUGACUUCAGCACAGCCAGGAC